rnacentral:rRNA from 1 species
AUAGGGGACCUCGAGUGCCAGGUUACAAAUCUGGCUGUUGUGAUGCCUAAAAAGCAUUGCAUAGCAAGGGCCGGGCAAGACCGGUGCCAGCCGCCGCGGUAACACCGGCGGCUCGAGUGGUAACCGUUAUUAUUGGGUCUAAAGGGUCUGUAGCCGGCCGGGUAAGUCUCUUGGGAAAUCUGGCAGCUUAACUGUCAGGCUUUCAGGAGAUACUGUCUGGCUCGAGGCCGGGAGAGGUGAGAGGUACUUCAGGGGUAGGGGUGAAAUCUUGUAAUCCUUGAAGGACCACCAGUGGCGAAGGCGUCUCACCACAACGGACCUGACGGCAAGGGACGAAAGCUAGGGGCACGAACCGGAUUAGAUACCCGGGUAGUCCUAGCCGUAAACGAUACUCGCUAGGUGUCGGCAACGGUGCGACCGUUGUCGGUGCCGUAGGGAAGCCGUGAAGCGAGCCACCUGGGAAGUACGGCCGCAAGGCUGAAACUUAAAGGAAUUGGCGGGGGAGCACCACAACGGGUGGAGCUUGCGGUUUAAUUGGAUUCAACGCCGGAAAUCUUACCGGGACCGACAGCAAUAUGAAGGCCAGGUUGAAGACUUUGCCGGAUUAGCUGAGAGGUGGUGCAUGGCCGUCGUCAGUCCGUACUGUGAGGCAUCCUGUUAAGUCAGGCAACGAGCGAGACCCACGCCCACAGUUGCCAGCGUACUCUCCGGAGUGACGGGUACACUGUGGG